AAUCCACCUUCCAGUCCACACUAAUUGCUGUUAAGUGGGCGAGUUCAUGGAGGCGUGCAGCGUUUCUUGUAGAUUGGCAUAAUUUCGGAUAUACAUUGCUGGCAUUGUCUUUAGGAAGAAACAAUGUCUUUGUAUCCUUAUACCGCUGAGUAAUAAACAUCGAUCAUCAAGAAGUUUUUGCUUUGACCUUCUAACGUCGGAACAUCACAAGUGUAAAGACUAUCAUCGCAUCUUUCUCCUUGAGGCUCUUCUCCUUGACGAAACCGUUCCAUCCUCUAGUGAAGACAAAGCUCUGGCUACAUCUCCAGUAACAAAGGCAUGAGGUUAGUGGUCUUUUCUUCCCUUUGGUGUCUAUGAUAUCAUUAGUAGAGGUAUAUUCUUGAAAUAAAUAAAAAGAUUUUCAUCUUUUGAUU